rnacentral:rRNA from 1 species
GAGUUUGAUCAUGGCUCAGAUUGAACGCUGGCGGCAUGCCUUACACAUGCAAGUCGAACGGCAGCACGGGAGCUUGCUCCUGGUGGCGAGUGGCGAACGGGUGAGUAAUGCAUCGGAACGUAUCCUGGAGUGGGGGAUAACGUAGCGAAAGUUACGCUAAUACCGCAUAUUCUGUGAGCAGGAAAGCGGGGGACCUUCGGGCCUCGCGCUCUUGGAGCGGCCGAUGUCGGAUUAGCUAGUUGGUGAGGUAAAGGCUCACCAAGGCGACGAUCCGUAGCAGGUCUGAGAGGAUGAUCUGCCACACUGGAACUGAGACACGGUCCAGACUCCUACGGGAGGCAGCAGUGGGGGAUUUUGGACAAUGGGGGCAACCCUGAUCCAGCCAUGCCGCGUGAGUGAAGAAGGCCUCGGUUGUAAG